GUGUUCUCUCUUGAUGCUCAGACAGACCCCUCCAGCUUUCUGGACGAAUACAGUGAGGUCUCAGACCCAACCCCUGCCUCCACUGGAAAUCUUAAAAUAUAAGUCUGAGACACUCCCAGCAAAGAAGAAAGAGCAAGAAAGAAGGGGUCCUGGAUGAAGAUUGAUGUGUCAGGCAUUUAUGAGCUCUGCCCUUACCU